rnacentral:rRNA from 1 species
GUUAGUAGCACAUGGCGUGCAGCUGAUCAGCCAUGCCGCGUGCAGGAAGACGGCCUUCUGGGUUGUAAACUGCUUUUGCCAGGGGAUAAAAAGUCCCUGCGGGGAAAAUUGAAGGUACCUGGUGAAUAAGCCACGGCUAACUACGUGCCAGCAGCCGCGGUAAUACGUAGGUGGCAAGCGUUGUCCGGAUUUAUUGGGUUUAAAGGGUGCGUAGGUUGUUUUGUAAGUCAGUGGUGAAAUCCGGCAGCUCAACUGUCGAUGUGCCAUUGAUACUGCAGAACUUGAGUACAGACGAGGUAGGCGGAAUUGACGGUGUAGCGGUGAAAUGCUUAGAUAUCGUCAAGAACACCGAUAGCGAAGGCAGCUUACUAGACUGUAACUGACACUGAUGCACGAAAGUGUGGGGAUCAAACAGGAUUAGAUACCCUGGUAGUCCACACUGUAAACGAUGAUUACUCGAUGUUGGCGAUACACAGCCAGCGUCUUAGCGAAAGCGAUAAGUAAUCCACCUGGGGAGUACGCCCGCAAGGGUGAAACUCAAG